CCCACACUGCGGGAGAGACCCAGCGCACUCUCCGCAGCUGCUGGCCCGAGUGCUGAGCCCCUCACUGCUGGGGCCGGCGGCGCUGCCGGCCACUCGGAGUGCGGGGCCUGCUGAGCCCGCGCCCACCCAGAACUCGCUGGCCUGCGAGUGCAGCGCGCAGCCCCUGUUCCCGCCCGCGCGUCUCCCUCCACAUCUCCGGGCAAGCAAAGGGAGCCGGCUCCAGCCUCGGCCAGCCCAGAGAGUGCCUCCCACAGUGCAGCGGCGGGCUGAAGGGCUGGCUUCUCAAGCGUGGCCAGAGUGGACGCCGAGGCUGAGGAGGCGCCCAGAGUGAGCAAGGGCUGAUAGCACGUUGUCACCUCAAUACCACAGAAAUUGAAAACAGAGAUAAAAGGAGACUACUGUAUAUCAGUUCAAGAUGGAUAUUUCUUCUGAUUGAAUAAAAAUUGUUUUGUGAAAAAUCCAGUAUUUUACUCACGCUCUCAAUCAGGCCAAGUGACAACCUUCUAAGAAAAACUCACAGAACUGGAAUUUGGAAGGCAAGUUAUGGUAUCUCAAACGUGUGAGUAAAAACAAACUAAAAAUGAGAACCUAACAAACUAAGUAGUAGUAGAACAAAAGCAGGGGAUUGAGAGUAAGCUCCGCUGUAGACUUUGCUUCACUGUAGGUGGGUUUUGCGUGAGCCGGAUCCAUCUCACCUUGAAAUGGAUCCAGCCUAAGAGUGCUAUGCAAAUAACCAAGGUGACUGAGCCUGGGAGUCUAUAAGUGGGUUUAAUAAGCUGCCAUCUGGGGAACUGCAGUUGGGGUCCAGCAUAUGGUCUAGGGAAAUGCUAAG
rnacentral:lncRNA from 1 species